rnacentral:rRNA from 1 species
UACGGAGGGGACUAGCGUUGUUCGGAAUUACUGGGCGUAAAGCGCACGUAGGCGGAUUUGUAAGUCAGGGGUGAAAUCCCGGGGCUCAACCCCGGAACUGCCUUUGAUACUGCAAAUCUCGAGUCCGGAAGAGGUGAGUGGAAUUCCUAGUGGUAGAGGUGAAAUUCGUAGAUAUUAGGAAGAACACCAGUGGCGAAGGCGGCUCACUGGUCCGAUACUGACGCUGAGGAGCGAAAGCGUGGGGAGCAAACAGGG